UGGGGAAUAUUGCACAAUGGGGGAAACCCUGAUGCAGCGACGCCGCGUGAACGAAGAAGGUAUUCGUAUCGUAAAGUUCUGUCCUAUGGGAAGAUAAUGACAGUACCAUAGAAGAAAGCUCCGGCUAAAUACGUGCCAGCAGCCGCGGUAAUAUGUAUGGAGCGAGCGUUGUCCGGAAUUAUUGGGCGUAAAGGGUACGCAGGCGGUUUAAUAAGUCGAAUGUUAAAGAUCGGGGCUCAACCCCGUAAAGCAUUGGAAACUGAUAAACUUGAGUAGUGGAGAGGAAAGUGGAAUUCCUAGUGUAGUGGUGAAAUACGUAGAUAUUAGGAGGAAUACCAGUAGCGAAGGCGACUUUCUGGACACAAACUGACGCUGAGGUACGAAAGCGUGGGGAGCAAACAGG
rnacentral:rRNA from 1 species